CAGUCGCCACGGUAAUACGUAGGGUGCGAGCGUUGUCCGGAAUUACUGGGCGUAAAGAGCUCGUAGGCGGUUUGUCGCGUCGUCUGUGAAAUUCUGCAGCUUAACUGUAGGCGUGCAGGCGAUACGGGCAGACUUGAGUACUACAGGGGAGACUGGAAUUCCUGGUGUAGCGGUGAAAUGCGCAGAUAUCAGGAGGAACACCGGUGGCGAAGGCGGGUCUCUGGGUAGUAACUGACGCUGAGGAGCGAAAGCGUGGGUAGCGAACAGGAUUAGAUACCCCAGUAGUCCCUGUCUCUUAUAC
rnacentral:rRNA from 1 species